AUUGAACGCUGGCGGCAUGCCUAACACAUGCAAGUCGAACGGUAACAGACCGCUGGGAUCCCUUCGGGGUGACCUUGGUGCUGACGAGUGGCGGACGGGUGAGUAACACUUGGGAAUCUGCCCAGUAGUCGGGGGACAACCCGGGGAAACCCGGGCUAAUACCGCAUACGCCCUACGGGGGAAAGGGGGCCUCUUCUUGAAAGCUCUCGCUAUUGGAUGAGCCCAAGUCGGAUUAGCUUGUUGGUGAGGUAAAAGCUCACCAAGGCGACGAUCCGUAGCUGGUCUGAGAGGACGAUCAGCCACACUGGGACUGAGACACGGCCCAGACUCCUACGGGAGGCAGCAGUGGGGAAUAUUGGACAAUGGGCGAAAGCCUGAUCCAGCAAUGCCGCGUGUGUGAAGAAGGCCUGCGGGUUGUAAAGCACUUUCAGUGGAGAAGAAAAGCCGGACGCUAAUACCGACCGGUCUUGACGUAACCUACAGAAGAAGCACCGGCUAACUCCGUG
rnacentral:rRNA from 1 species